GGGUUGUGAGGUUAAGCGACUAAGCGUACACGGUGGAUGCCCUGGCAGUCAGAGGCGAUGAAGGACGUGCUAAUCUGCGAUAAGCGUCGGUAAGGUGAUAUGAACCGUUAUAACCGGCGAUUUCCGAAUGGGGAAACCCAGUGUGAUUCGUCACACUAUCAUUAACUGAAUCCAUAGGUUAAUGAGGCGAACCGGGGGAACUGAAACAUCUAAGUACCCCGAGGAAAAGAAAUCAACCGAGAUUCCCCCAGUAGCGGCGAGCGAACGGGGAGCAGCCCAGAGCCUGAAUCAGUGUGUGUGUUAGUGGAAGCGUCUGGAAAGGCGCGCGAUACAGGGUGACAGCCCCGUACACAAAAAUGCACAUGCUGUGAGCUCGAUGAGUAGGGCGGGACACGUGGUAUCCUGUCUGAAUAUGGGGGGACCAUCCUCCAAGGCUAAAUACUCCUGACUGACCGAUAGUGAACCAGUACCGUGAGGGAAAGGCGAAAAGAACCCCGGCGAGGGGAGUGAAAAAGAACCUGAAACCGUGUACGUACAAGCAGUGGGAGCACGCUUAGGCGUGUGACUGCGUACCUUUUGUAUAAUGGGUCAGCGACUUAUAUUCUGUAGCAAGGUUAACCGAAUAGGGGAGCCGAAGGGAAACCGAGUCUUAACUGGGCGUUAAGUUGCAGGGUAUAGACCCGAAACCCGGUGAUCUAGCCAUGGGCAGGUUGAAGGUUGGGUAACACUAACUGGAGGACCGAACCGACUAAUGUUGAAAAAUUAGCGGAUGACUUGUGGCUGGGGGUGAAAGGCCAAUCAAACCGGGAGAUAGCUGGUUCUCCCCGAAAGCUAUUUAGGUAGCGCCUCGUGAAUUCAUCUCCGGGGGUAGAGCACUGUUUCGGCAAGGGGGUCAUCCCGACUUACCAACCCGAUGCAAACUGCGAAUACCGGAGAAUGUUAUCACGGGAGACACACGGCGGGUGCUAACGUCCGUCGUGAAGAGGGAAACAACCCAGACCGCCAGCUAAGGUCCCAAAGUCAUGGUUAAGUGGGAAACGAUGUGGGAAGGCCCAGACAGCCAGGAUGUUGGCUUAGAAGCAGCCAUCAUUUAAAGAAAGCGUAAUAGCUCACUGGUCGAGUCGGCCUGCGCGGAAGAUGUAACGGGGCUAAACCAUGCACCGAAGCUGCGGCAGCGACGCUUAUGCGUUGUUGGGUAGGGGAGCGUUCUGUAAGCCUGUGAAGGUGUGCUGUGAGGCAUGCUGGAGGUAUCAGAAGUGCGAAUGCUGACAUAAGUAACGAUAAAGCGGGUGAAAAGCCCGCUCGCCGGAAGACCAAGGGUUCCUGUCCAACGUUAAUCGGGGCAGGGUGAGUCGACCCCUAAGGCGAGGCCGAAAGGCGUAGUCGAUGGGAAACAGGUUAAUAUUCCUGUACUUGGUGUUACUGCGAAGGGGGGACGGAGAAGGCUAUGUUGGCCGGGCGACGGUUGUCCCGGUUUAAGCGUGUAGGCUGGUUUUCCAGGCAAAUCCGGAAAAUCAAGGCUGAGGCGUGAUGACGAGGCACUACGGUGCUGAAGCAACAAAUGCCCUGCUUCCAGGAAAAGCCUCUAAGCAUCAGGUAACAUCAAAUCGUACCCCAAACCGACACAGGUGGUCAGGUAGAGAAUACCAAGGCGCUUGAGAGAACUCGGGUGAAGGAACUAGGCAAAAUGGUGCCGUAACUUCGGGAGAAGGCACGCUGAUAUGUAGGUGAAGCGACUUGCUCGUGGAGCUGAAAUCAGUCGAAGAUACCAGCUGGCUGCAACUGUUUAUUAAAAACACAGCACUGUGCAAACACGAAAGUGGACGUAUACGGUGUGACGCCUGCCCGGUGCCGGAAGGUUAAUUGAUGGGGUCAGCGCAAGCGAAGCUCUUGAUCGAAGCCCCGGUAAACGGCGGCCGUAACUAUAACGGUCCUAAGGUAGCGAAAUUCCUUGUCGGGUAAGUUCCGACCUGCACGAAUGGCGUAAUGAUGGCCAGGCUGUCUCCACCCGAGACUCAGUGAAAUUGAACUCGCUGUGAAGAUGCAGUGUACCCGCGGCAAGACGGAAAGACCCCGUGAACCUUUACUAUAGCUUGACACUGAACAUUGAGCCUUGAUGUGUAGGAUAGGUGGGAGGCUUAGAAGUGUGGACGCCAGUCUGCAUGGAGCCGACCUUGAAAUACCACCCUUUAAUGUUUGAUGUUCUAACGUUGACCCGUAAUCCGGGUUGCGGACAGUGUCUGGUGGGUAGUUUGACUGGGGCGGUCUCCUCCUAAAGAGUAACGGAGGAGCACGAAGGUUGGCUAAUCCUGGUCGGACAUCAGGAGGUUAGUGCAAUGGCAUAAGCCAGCUUGACUGCGAGCGUGACGGCGCGAGCAGGUGCGAAAGCAGGUCAUAGUGAUCCGGUGGUUCUGAAUGGAAGGGCCAUCGCUCAACGGAUAAAAGGUACUCCGGGGAUAACAGGCUGAUACCGCCCAAGAGUUCAUAUCGACGGCGGUGUUUGGCACCUCGAUGUCGGCUCAUCACAUCCUGGGGCUGAAGUAGGUCCCAAGGGUAUGGCUGUUCGCCAUUUAAAGUGGUACGCGAGCUGGGUUUAGAACGUCGUGAGACAGUUCGGUCCCUAUCUGCCGUGGGCGCUGGAGAACUGAGGGGGGCUGCUCCUAGUACGAGAGGACCGGAGUGGACGCAUCACUGGUGUUCGGGUUGUCAUGCCAAUGGCACUGCCCGGUAGCUAAAUGCGGAAGAGAUAAGUGCUGAAAGCAUCUAAGCACGAAACUUGCCCCGAGAUGAGUUCUCCCUGACCCUUUAAGGGUCCUGAAGGAACGUUGAAGACGACGACGUUGAUAGGCCGGGUGUGUAAGCGCAGCGAUGCGUUGAGCUAACCGGUACUAAUGAACCGUGAGGCUUAACCUUACAACGCCGAAGCUGUU
rnacentral:rRNA from 1 species